GGUGUUUACUGUCGAACUGAACACUCUACCGUUUACUGUCUGGUGGUGCUCUUCACCGAGUGUCACCAGUGGUCGGUACGUUUACUUUGAAAAAAUUAGAGUGCUCAAAGCGGUUUUUACACGACCGAAUACUGUUGCAUGGAAUAAUGAAAUAGGACUUUGGUUCUAUUUUGUUGGUCUUCGGAACCAAGGUAAUGGUUAAGAGGGACAGACGGGGGCAUUAGUACUGCGACGCUAGAGGUGAAAUUCUUGGACCGUCGCAAGACUAACUAAAGCGAAAGCAUUUGCCAAGAAUGUUUUCAUUAAUCAAGAACGAAAGUUAGAGGUUCGAAGGCGAUCAGAUACCGCCCUAGUUCUACCAUAAACGAUGCCAACCAGCAAUCAGCCUGUGUUCUCUUGAUGACACGGCUGGCGGCUUCCGGGAAACCAAAGUCUUUCGGUUCCAGGGGAAGUAUGGUUGCAAAGCUGAAACUUAAAGGAAUUGACGGAAGGGCACCACCAGGAGUGGAGCCUGCGGCUUAAUUUGACUCAACACGGGGAAACUCACCCGGCCCGGACACUGUGAGGAUUGACAGGUUGAAGCCCUUUCUUGAUUCAGUGGGUGGUGGUGCAUGGCCGUUCUUAGUUGGUGGAGUGAUUUGUCUGGUUAAUUCCGAUAACGAACGAGACUCUAGCCUACUAAUUAGACCGUGGCGUCCUCGUGCCGCCACGGCGCUUCCUAGAGGGACAGACGG
rnacentral:rRNA from 1 species